CAGCUGACUAGCCGGUCUCGCGAACCNGUUGCUUAAAGUUGAUCCUGGCUCAGNNAUCANCGGUAACGGCGUGCCUAACACAUGCAGUCGAACGAGAAAGUGGAGCAAUCCAUGAGUAAAGUGGCGACCGGGUGAGUAACACGUGACUAACCUACCUCCGAGUGGGGAAUAACUCCGGGAAACCGGGGCUAAUACCGCGUAACAUCGCAGAUCAAAGCAGCAAUGCGCUUGGAGAGGGGGUCGCGGCUGAUUAGCUAGUUGCGGGGUAACGGCCACCAAGGCGAAGAUCGGUAUCCGGCCUGAGAGGGCGCACGGACACACUGGAACUGAAACACGGUCCAGACUCCUACGGGAGGCAGCAGUGGGGAAUUUUGCGCAAUGGGGGAAACCCUGACGCAGCAACGCCGCGUGGAGGAUGAGGCCCUUUGGGGCGUAAACUCCUUUCGACCAAGACGAUAUGACGGUCUGGUGGAAGAAGCACCGGCUAACUCUGUGCCAGCAGCCGCGG
rnacentral:rRNA from 1 species